UGGUCAAAUACCUCAAGUUAGGGGUGGGCAUAAUACCGGCCGAACCGAAAAAACCCGCCGAACCAUGAAUUUUAAUUUUUCGAUUUCGGUUAUUCGGUCGGAGUAUAGUUUUUAAAUUAUUAAAUUUCAAUUUUUUGGUGCGGUUUACGAUUUUGGUGUUUCGAUUUUCGGUUACACCGAAAAACCAAAAUUUUGGGUAUUAGUUGAGAAAAAUAGGUUUGAAUAUACGGGUUCUUUUGAGAGUUCAAAACUUAUUACCCAUCUGAAGGCUGAAGCCCAAUAGUUCAAUACCCAUUUGAAGCCCACCCAAUUUAUCCAAACCUAAGACUUAGUCUUACUGAUAGUCUGAUACGUUCCCAAACCUAAAUCAAAAAUUAGAUUUAGGGUUCCUCUCACCUCUGUGCGACUGCUGCCUUCUUCCUCAGCUCGACUAUGACACCUUCUUCCUCAGCUCGUCGCUCAUCCUUCUUCCUUAGGAACAUGGAUUUGACGGGUUUCAUUAAUCUCUCAACAAUUUUCUAUGUUCUGUUUGGACUUGAAAGGUUAGCUUGUUUGUGAAAUCCAGUAGUUCGUAUAUUGCUAGCUUCUUGGACUUGAAAGGUUAAUUGUUAUAUUGUGAAAUCCUGCUAGUGGAUGCUGCCAGAAGUUAAUUGUUAUUUUGUUAAUUGUUAUUUUGUUCAUGUUGCUAGUGGACUUGAAAGGUUAAUACCUGAUUGAUGAAGCAACAGCUGCAGCAACUCUGAACAUUUUCCAAUAAUUUCAAUGUGUUAAUUGAUAAAAUAGGAGCAAAAUUGCAUAUUUCAGAGUAAGAGAAAAUGGGAGAAUUGAGAAGAAACCCAUAACUGAUACAUAAGUUCUUCACGCUCUCACUGUUUCGUGUUUUAAUGCUUUCCGUAGGGUUUAAGGUUUAACUUUAACAAU